CAAACAUAAGAAGCUACCAAGGACAAUAACUCCUAGAAUAACCCUAGGUCCCUUUAAAGCUUUAACUAAGUGCAUCCCAUUCUAACCCAAGGUCGGGUUGAGAGAUCUCAAUCCAGGUUAGUCUUGGCGGGCUCAAUCCAUUUUGGUGUUGAUUGACCCUAGCAGUCCAUACCACCUAUGCAUGAUGUAGUUUUGUAUAAUUAAUAUGGAAGAAAGGAACACAAUCCGAUAACGAGUACCUGUCUCAAGACACAAUGGAUGCAAAAAACUACACUGUUCUCGUGUUGAAGAUGCCCGUGCUCAUCCUUCCAUUGGCCACGGGUGCUGGGGGUAGCAUUCUCUCUCUCUCAAUUACUAUAUUUUUUCUUAUAUUCUCUCUCUCUCAACUAGUCCUACAUUACCGAAACCAAUUUUAUACUUAAUUGCACUCUCAAAUCUGUAUUUUUUUUUUUUUUUUUUUUAUUCAGAUCUGAGUAUACUCUUCUUCUUCUUUUUUCAUGAUCUUUAAUCUGACUUCAAAUCUAUUGUGCAUGUUGGAGGAGCUGGUAACGUUAAUAUGCUUCCCGCUAGGUUUCUGGAAAUGGUUAGACGUAAGUCCAGGGCUCUCAGACUGGCCCUUUAUCUGAACCUGGCCCACCUAGAAUUUGCAUGGUAUCAGAUGCCAUCCCCAGGCCCAUGCCAUUAAUCAAGCUGGGCCCAAACAUGGGGUGGGGUCUCUAUAGUCAAUGGGUUUUGUAGUCUUCUCCCCUUCCCUCUCCAGGGAUUAGAUUGGCCAAUGAUGAUAAAUGAUGGCCUCCUUAACAUGAUGCAUAAGGCAUUAUAGAUGAUAUGUUCAAAGUGUGUCGGAGCCGGCUUACAUGUAGAUACAAAAAUGAAGAAUCGAACCUGGGACCAUUCGUCUAUUUACACUAUCCCCAAUUCACCCUAAACAUCUGGGCAACCCACAGACAGGUUUUUUGAUCUUCUAUUUUUUUCUCUUUUGUUUUUGUUUUCUCAUAUCUAAUUGCCCUUUUAUUUCGGUUGAAUAUGAUGAAAUUUUCACUCUUUUAAUACUGAAUUUUUUAGAUUUUCUUCUACAAAAAAAAAAAAAAAAAGAUUUUCUAGCACCGAAUUAAUCUCCGGUUUAGGUUUUGAAAAUCAGAUUCGAUUAAUAAAUUUGUUGGGUUUUGUUUUAUGAUCAAAAAACCAAACCGAUAAACCGGACCAAUAUACACCAUUUCCUGUCUGCCUUUUUGAACUUGAAAAUCGAACCCGCGCCAGAUGGUAACGUAAUCUGCACCGUCCGUUAGAUGCCUCAUCUAUCAUUCACUUCCAUUGUGACUUAAUCGACGGAUCAUGUCAGCAUCCCAAUCGAAGCAAACCAAGAAUUCAAACUGUUUACUAUCCCUCUCCCCGGCCUGGUAUCCGCAGUGGCCAAACUCGCAAGAAUGCUUCGAAACUUCUCUCUCUGCUUCCCUCUUUAGUCUCUCUCUCUCUCUCUCUCUCUCUUCUCUUCUCUUCUGUUCUCUUCUCUUCAUUAGAGUACUGAGUCAAAUUCAUGGUUUUUAUCUGAAAAUGUCAACCCUCGAGAAGCUAUUCGUCCAGAUAUUUGAACGAAAGAACUGGAUCAUCGAUCAGGUUAAGCAGCAGAGAGAUUUACACGAACAGCAACUUGCUUCGAAACUAUUAAUUAAUGGAAUUUUCCCUCCUCCGUGGUUGUGGAAUGCUGGAAUAGAGAGAGGAACUGUAGAUUUCACUGAGCUGAAUAAAGAGGACCUUAUCUCCAGCCUCCUAAUCCCAUCUCUACGAUCCAAGGUCCCUUCUACUAGUGGUCACUGCACUUUUUACAGCAACCCAGUUGCUACAUCAGAUAAUGGACAUACUUCAGAGAGCUUAUUUUUGGAAACUUGUGCUUCCAACAAAUAUUUUGAGGCAGGGGGCAGGUUUUGCCAUCGUACCUAAAUGCCAUCUUAAUGAAAAUGAGCUUGAACAGAGAUGUACCUUAGACGAGGCUUGUGAGCUAGGUCCUACAAUCACUUCUCCUCAAGACCAGACAAGUGCAAGGACCUCUGAUAAUUACUUUGAACCAGGCCAAUCACUGGGAAGGAUCCAAAGGUCCAGGUCAAGACAAAAUGCUCUAGAACUUCGAAAUAGUGCAAAAACAAACCCGGAAAGGCAUUCAAGCAAGGAAGGUAGUCAUAGUGUUUAUUCUGGUAGAGUUACAAGGUCUAGAACUGCUUGUCAACUGUCUAACAAUGUCAAUGAGUUGCUGGAAUUGCAUAAGGCUUCCGAUAUUGCUAAUGAUAUUGGUCAUGGGGUUGCACUAGCAAAGACAGAGAAGUGUCAAAGAAGUGGAGAUGACACCAGUGAUCAUUCUGGUAGACUCAUCUCUAAUAAAGAUAUGGCCAGAAAUACAGCAUCUAGUAUUCUGGAGUUCAAUUACCCUGAAGGGUUAUCAGAAGCUAAUGACCCAAAAAUACCAAAUGAUAGAUUUGCAUGGUGUAGUUCUGUUUGCAAUGAUCAACAUUCUCGAAUUGAAAAACAAUUAAACAGGGUUGAAGGACAUGACCUCAAGGAAGCAUCAGAUGCUCAAGUUGAUAUCCUGCCAUGUCAUGAUGCCAAUGGUAUUGUUAACCAAGAAAAGGGGAAUACUGACAUUGCAGAAACUGAGAUUGUUUCAAAUGGGCCAGCUGAAGCCUGUUCUAUUCUACAGCUUAAUCGUGCCAGAGGAUUUUCACUAUCUAAUUAUUCUUCAAAAGUAGCCAGUGGUAGAGUUAAACGGUCUAAAUGUUCCUCUCCUGAUAAACCUCGUCAACUCUCAGAACCAUUGAAGUGGGUUGAAGGAGAUGACCUCCAGAAAGAAUCAGAAACUCAAGUGGGUAUCCUGCCAUGCAAAGAUGACCCUGGUAUUGUCAAUGAGGAAAACGGCAUCUUAGGAAUGGAGCAUGUUUCAAGUGAGCCAGCUCAACCCUGUGCUACUCAUUCUCGGUCUAACAUUCAUGGUGCUAGCCAUAGAGAUGGGUUGGAAUUGUUAAUCACUAGGCUACCUUCUGAGAGUGGUCCGCUUUUGGAGCCAAAGCAGCUUGUCUUUGAUGAUGUGGAUGUACACAAUUUGAAUGAGGGUGUUGAUCCUAUGGGAAGGGAGAUUCAAGGGAAAUCACUAGAAAUAAGAUCCUUUUCAUCGGUGCCUGCUGAAUCUUUCGAAAAGCUAGCCACUACUAAUUUGAGUGAGUCUAUUAUUGCAAAGAAUUCCAUUUUAUCAGAAAAAACAAAGAAGAAUUCUGUUGAGUGUUCAUGGCCUAAGUCUAAGCGGAGAAAAGUUGAGGAUCGAUCAAGUAAUGCCUUUACUGCUUCUGGAAGGUUAAGGAGGGGUAAACCACUUCAGGAGAUUCAUGAGGAGACUGAUUAUAGAUACCUGGAAAUUGGAGAAAAAGAGGUUGAGGCUAUCUCAGAGGUCCAGCAUUUCCCUCCCCAUGAAAUAGAUAUUGCUCAACCCGAUGCUAUGGAGAGCUCUGGUGUUGAAAUGCCUUUUCAGGAAGUGGAGUGUUUGGAAUCUCCAACCAAGUUGCAAGUCAAAGAGGGUGAGCUUGUCACGGAAGGGACAGAUCAAAGUGCAGAGUCAGCCUUGACAUGUAAUGAUGAACAAGUAGAGCAUUCUCUGGAAGACCAUGGUUCACUUCCAUAUUGUCUGGUUGGCUCUUCACUUACCAAGUAUGUUGACUUGAUCGUUGCUGAUCAAACCAUACCUGAAUUUGAGGGAUUCAGUAUCGGUGAAACAACAGAGAGUGAUCUGCCAUGCAUUGCCAAAAAUGAAAUUGAUCUUGAUCAUUCAGAUCUUCUAAGCACCUCAAUUGGACAGGUUAGUAUUCUGGACCAGUUAUACAGGUCUUAUAAAAUGCUUAUGCCACAACCCCAUGUUUCAGCAAAGUAUAAAGUGCAUCGAACACCAGACAUAUACCAGUCUUUACCUAAUGGACUUCUGGAGCACAUGGACCUGAGGAACUCUCUGCUCUUUAAUGCAAAUGAAAGUAAGCAAGUUAAGUGCAGCUACGAUGGGAUAAAUGAGGAAAAUUUCCACACUUUUCUGGGGACGCCAUACUCUGAAUGCAUGUCAUCUUCUAGUGUUCGAUUUGGUUGGGAUGUUAGUAGACCACCUUGCACACCUCCAGUUGGAAAGCUCUGUCAGAGAAAUACUUCAAAAUCCUCCAAUCAUAGUUUGGAGAAGCAAGAGUAUAAAAACCCAGAGCUUACUUGUUUUAGGAUUGAGGAAGAUCCCAGCAUUUGUGAGGAAAGCGGGGAUGCAGAUGAGAUUUUUGAUCCAUUCCAGGAAGGACAUCAGUCAUGGGGGAAGAAUGACUCGGCUAUAAGAAAACCACUUGCUGAUGUGGCUAAUGAAUGUCUUAACUCUUCUGCAUCUGUUUCUUUGGCUGAUAAGUUUGUUGAAAGAGGUAGCCUAGAAUCUGUUAAUGCAGGUUUUAAUAUCACUCAGACCCAAAUGGAUGCCAAACAGAAGCUUAGUUGCUAUGGAACUCGGAGAAACUAUAAGAACAAAGAUAAGGAGAAUCAAUGUGCUUCGCUAAGUGGCAUUGGUGCUUGGAAGGCCACCGAAUCUCUUAAAAAUAGGUUCAGCAAGCCAAAAUUAUCAGGGAAAGGAGGCCAGAGUUUAUUGGGGAAGGGGAAUCAACGAAACAAUAUUGUGUCCAAUAUGUCAUCGUCUAUACCAUUUGUUGAACAAAAAAGACCAACUGGAGCUUUUACAGGAAAGAGGGAUAUUAAAGUGAAAGCCCUGGAGGCUGCCGAGGCUGCAAAACGUCUUGAAGAGAAAAGAGAGAAUGAGCGUAAAAUGAAGAAAGAAGCAGUGAAGCUUGAGCGAGCAAGAUUGGAGCAGGAAAAUACCAGGCAACUAGAACUGAAUCAGAAAAAGAAAGAAGAGGAACGGAAGAAGAAGGAAGCUGACUUGGCAACAAGGAAAAGGUUGAGGGAAGAAGAAGAAAGGAAGGACAAGGAAAGAAAACGCAAGUGUAUUGAAGAAGCAAGGAGGCAGCAGGGAGAACACGAGGAGAGAUUAAGACUUGAAAAAGAGGAAAAAGAGAUUAGACGCCGGGCUGCAGACGAGAAACAGCUCAAGGGAAAUGAGCAGGCAGAUGAAGCAAGAAAGCUUCAAAAAAUGGGAAAAGGCAGGGAAGAAUCUGACUGUAGGAAAAAGACCUACACAGAACUGACUGCCAUGGUUUCUGCAUGUGAUACAAGAGAAGCUAGUGAUUUUCAUCAAGUUUGUCAGGCUUCAAAUGAGUCUACUGAAAUUGAAAAGAAAAUUUGCAACCCAUAUAAGGCACAUGAAGAUGUUAUCUCAGUUACUAAAGGAAGCCCGGAGCAGUCGUACGCAAUUUCCCCAUACCAAGAGUCAGAUGGCGAAGAGGAAGAAGAGGAUGGCAUGCCUAAUCAGAAAUUUAUCCCUUCAUGGGCCAGUGAAAACUGUCUGGCUCAACUAUUACCCACCUUAAAGAAAUUGGACCCAGAUGCAAUUUUCCCCCCAUCGAGCUUUUGCAGUAUAGCAGAAGUUCUUUUGCCUCGAAAGCAACAGCUGAGAUAGGUGGCAAUUUUUAUAAGCUGGAGAGUUUCCUGCUUUAUGUGGACAAGUGUUAUAGCUGCUGGGGAGAUUGCUAGGUCUUGCAGCUCAGCUCACUAUCUGGAUGUCGCAGUCCAAACCCAAAAGGAUUGGUGGGCCCUUUCCAAGAAAAUUAUAUUUUUUUAUACCUAAGUCGUGUCCAUCGGAGGCUCCUUGCAUUGGAAUUAAUGUGAAAAGGAAGAUAAAUACAAUAAUCUUAAAAUAAAAAAAGAAUCAAAAUGAAAAUUUGUCUAAUCAUUAUUGACAAGGAUUAGAUAACUAAUCUGAUAACUUAUUAAAUAUAAUAAGUAAAUUUUGAAGUUUUUUUAUCUAAA